AAAAAGUCAAACCUUGAGUUUCCGUAUCCAACUUUAACUGUCCGUCUUAUAUGAAUUUUUUUUAUAAUUUGUAUUUUUAUUGUUGUUAGAUGAUAAAACAUGAUUAAUAUUUUAUGUGUGAUUUGUCUUUUUAAUUUUUUUUCAUAAUUUUUUAAAUAAGACGGACGGUUAAAUAUUGGGCACGGAAACUAGGGUUUGUCUUUUU
rnacentral:pre_miRNA from 1 species